CCCUUUGUGACUUAUACCUUACUGUUGCCUCGGCGCAGGCCGGCCUCUACUGCUGAGGCCCCCCGGAGACGGGGAGCAGCCCGCCGGCGGCCAACCAAACUCUUGUUUCUACAGUGAAUCUCUGAGUAAAAAACAUAAAUGAAUCAAAACUUUCAACAACGGAUCUCUUGGUUCUGGCAUCGAUGAAGAACGCAGCGAAAUGCGAUAAGUAAUGUGAAUUGCAGAAUUCAGUGAAUCAUCGAAUCUUUGAACGCACAUUGCGCCCUCUGGUAUUCCGGAGGGCAUGCCUGUUCGAGCGUCAUUUCAACCCUCAAGCCUGGCUUGGUGUUGGGGCACUGCCUGUAAAAGGGCAGGCCCUGAAAUCUAGUGGCGAGCUCGCUAGGACCCCGAGCGUAGUAGUUAUAUCUCGUUCUGGAAGGCCCUGGCGGUGCCCUGCCGUUAAACCCCCAACUUCUGAAAUUUUGACCUCGGAUCAGGUAGGAAUACCCGC
rnacentral:rRNA from 1 species